GUAGCGCCAACCCUGGUAGAAGCUGCAGCCUCAGCUCAGCUGCUGCACCGACAACCUCUCCUCCGGGCUUUCUGCCCCUGUUCACUUUAGUGAAUUCUGGACUUCAUCGGUGGACAGCAAUCCUGUUGAGAAAUUAAGCCAACUGGUAUUCACAAGGCAAAUCCAACUGAUUAGUUCUCUCCAAUUUGCCAUUGGGCAAGCAGAGAUCUGAAGCACUUGAUCAUCCCGUGUCCAAGGAGGAUCAUGUGCUCCAACAUCUGGCCCUGCUGCCUUUGGCACUAAAACUGUAUACACACCCCAGAGCAGAGACUUACUGAGUUUCCUUAACAAUAUUUUCAUGCUGUUUCCUACAUCAAGAUAUAAAUACAACAAAACAAUAGCUUGUCUUUCGUUUGCCUUUGCUAUUGUUUGUGCGAUGAGCUCUGGGUUAGAGGAUCCUGGGACUGUACACAAAUAGCUUUGGCUCUGAAAUUAAAGGCUUUGACUUUGCUGCUGCAGGAAGUUCAAAAGAGAUUUGUUCUUUUUCUUGAGGAGUGCAUAAGCGAGGCUGAUUCAUGAUUUUAUUUUAUUAGCAAGU